rnacentral:rRNA from 1 species
UACGUAGGGGGCUAGCGUUGCUCGGAAUUACUGGGCGUAAAGGGCGCGUAGGCGGAUACUCAAGUCGGGGGUGAAAGCCCAGGGCUCAACCCUGGAAUAGCCUUCGAUACUGGGUAUCUUGAGUUCGGGAGAGGUGAGUGGAACUCCGAGUGUAGAGGUGAAAUUCGUAGAUAUUCGCAAGAACACCAGUGGCGAAGGCGGCUCACUGGCCCGGUACUGACGCUGAGGCACGAAAGCGUGGGGAGCAAACAGG